AAUAUUAAAGAAUAAAAGAAAGAUUAGAAAGAAAAUAUAGGGAAAACUUCUUCUUUCUUCUACACGUCUUUGCAGAAAGAGACACGGGUAAUGUUGUUGCUGAGUUUGAAGGGUGUGUGUUUGGUUCCAAGGGUUGUAGAGGAUAAGUCUGAGAUUGGAUGAACCUCUCUAGCUUAUUUUUUGUUUUUUUCCCGACUUGGUUUCUCAGAUCUAUUACCACCCUUUCUGCAUUUCCCCUAUCUCUUACAAAUCACAAUCCUUUCUCUUCAUUGCCUGGUAAGACAUGAGUAGAGGAGAUUUUGAAGAAGAUACAGAAAUGUGUUGGUGACAGUGGAUCUCUGGCCAGAAGCCAAGGCAGUUGGAUCCUCCACCUCCGUCGCAUAUAAUCCAGCGUCCACCACCAAAGCAACCUCCAGCUUCGUCGAACAUGGCGCCUUCACCUCUAACGUUGGAACCGAAAACACGGUUAGUCAAACGUCAAGCCAAACACACAUGGAACCGAACAUCGUGCUUGGGAACCGAAUACACAAUGGUUGUGAAUAAUGGGAACCGAAUAACAGCAACUGGGAACCGAAUACAGGUGCCAUGUAAAUUCUUCCCACCUCUGGAACCGAAUACGAGUGGAAGGGAACCGAAUACACCUCCAAAAUAUUUCAUUUCAGCCACUGUUCUUCAUCUUGUUCAGCUUCAGACUUCAUCUUCAACCAUCAUCUUCAUAUGGAAUUGGUUAUUUCAUAGUUAGAAUCGAUGUACGUAAGCUUCAGGACUUGGGUUGGAAUUAUAUAAUAGGCAAAGGGUAAAGAAAUUUGAAAGGAGAGCCCAAUCACGUUCUAAGCUAUGGUGUUGGCACCAUAUCAAAAGGGUACUGGAGAGACUAAAAUGCCAUUUAAUUAGUAAAGAGAUUACCAAGAUAACUACAUAACAAAUAUUAAGAGAUACAACA